rnacentral:rRNA from 1 species
UACAGAGGUCUCAAGCGUUGUUCGGAAUCACUGGGCGUAAAGCGUGCGUAGGCUGUUGUGUAAGUUGGGGGUGAAAUCCCACGGCUCAACCGUGGAACAGCCCUUGAUACUGCGCGACUUGAAUCCGGGAGAGGGUGGCGGAAUUCGUGGUGUAGCGGUGAAAUGCAUAGAUAUCACGCAGAACCCCGAUUGCGAAGGCAGCCUUCCGGCGCCCUACUGACGCUGAGGCACGAAAGUGCGGGGAUCGAACAGG